rnacentral:rRNA from 1 species
UACGGAGGGUGCAAGCGUUAAUCGGAAUUACUGGGCGUAAAGCGCGCGUAGGUGGUUGUAUAAGUCGAUUGUGAAAGCCCCGGGCUUAACCUGGGAAUUGCAUUCGAUACUGUUCAGCUAGAGUGUGGUAGAGGGAAGCGGAAUUCCGGGUGUAGCGGUGAAAUGCGUAGAUAUCCGGAGGAACACCAGUGGCGAAGGCGGCUUCCUGGACCAACACUGACACUGAGGCGCGAAAGCGUGGGGAGCAAACAGG